UCCAGUCGAUUUGUGGGAUCU
rnacentral:miRNA from 1 species